CGGGCCAUCGUAUAACGGCAGUACAUGCCCUUGGGGUGGGCAAGGCGGCAGUUCAAUUCUGCCUGGCCCGACUA
rnacentral:tRNA from 3 species